CGGGAGGCAGCAGUAGGGAAUCUUCCACAAUGGACGAAAGUCUGAUGGAGCAACGCCGCGUGAGUGAUGAAGGUUUUCGGAUCGUAAAACUCUGUUGUUAAAGAAGAACAAGUGUUAGAGUAACUGUUAACACUUUGACGGUAUUUAACCAGAAAGCCACGGCUAACUACGUGCCAGCAGCCGCGGUAAUACGUAGGUGGCAAGCGUUGUCCGGAUUUAUUGGGCGUAAAGCGAGCGCAGGCGGUUUUGUAAGUCUGCUGUGAAAGCCCUCAGCUCAACUGAGGAAGUGCAGUGGAAACUACAAAACUUGAGUACAGAAGAGGAAAGUGGAACUCCAUGUGUAGCGGUGAAAUGCGUAGAUAUAUGGAAGAACACCAGUGGCGAAAGGCGGCUUUCUGGUCUGUUACUGACGNUGAGGCUCGAAAGCAUGGGUAGCGAACAGGAUUAGAUACCCUGGUAGUCCAUGCCGUAAACGAUGAAUACUAGGUGUUGGAGGGUUUCCGCCNUUCAGUGCCGCAGCUAACGCAUUAAGUAUUCCGCCUGGGGAGUACGACCGCAAGGUUGAAACUCAAAGGAAUUGACGGGGGCCCGCACAAGUGGUGGAGCAUGUGGUUUAAUUCGAUGCUACGCGAAGAACCUUACCAGCUCUUGACAUCUUCUGCCAACCCAAGAGAUUGGGCGUUCCCUUCGGGGACAGAAUGACAGGUGGUGCAUGGUUGUCGUCAGCUCGUGUCGUGAGAUGUUGGGUUAAGUCCCGCAACGAGCGCAACCCUUAUUAUUAGUUGCCAGCAUUUAGUUGGGCACUCUAGUGAGACUGCCGGUGAUAAACCGGAGGAAGGUGGGGACGACGUCAAAUCAUCAUGCCCCUUAUGAGCUGGGCUACACACGUGCUACAAUGGAUGGUACAACGAGUCGCGAAACCGCGAGGUCAAGCUAAUCUCUUAAAGCCAUUCUCAGUUCGGAUUGCAGGCUGCAACUCGCCUGCAUGAAGUUGGAAUCACUAGUAAUCGUGGAUCAGCAUGCCACGGUGAAUACGUUCCCGGGCCUUGUACA
rnacentral:rRNA from 2 species